GAUGAACGCUGGCGGCGUGCCUAAUACGUGCAAGUCGAGCGAACGGACGAGAAGCUUGCUUCUCUGAUGUUAGCGGCGGACGGGUGAGUAACACGUGGAUAACCUACCUAUAAGACUGGGAUAACUUCGGGAAACCGUAGCUAAUACCGGAUAAUAUUUUGAACCGCAUGGUUCAAAAGUGAAAGACGGUCUUGCUGUCACUUAUAGAUGGAUCCGCGCUGCAUUAGCUAGUUGGUAAGGUGACGGCUUACCAAGGCAACGAUGCAUAGCCGACCUGAGAGGGUGAUCGGCCACACUGGAACUGAGACACGGUCCAGACUCCUACGGGAGGCAGCAGUAGGGAAUCUUCCGCAAUGGGCGAAAGCCUGACGGAGCAACGCCGCGUGAGUGAUGAAGGUCUUCGGAUCGUAAAACUCUGUUAUUAGGGAAGAACAUAUGUGUAAGUAACUGUGCACAUCUUGACGGUACCUAAUCAGAAAGCCACGGCUAACUACGUG
rnacentral:rRNA from 1 species